GCCAUGUUGAUGUUACGUAAAGUCUUCAGUCACGUUGACAAUUGGUUGGUAGACGUAUAAGUACGAUUAGUGGUUCGGCAGUUAUCCAUUUCAGUUCAUCUGCUCCAACGUAGACUUGGUAAAAAUUGGGAAUGAUGCUACGACCAAUAUUAAAGACUGGUUGAAAAAAGAAAAAGAAAUUGCUGCUAUCUCGAGUAUCUUCAGGACUUCAAUUUCCAGUUUUUUCCUUUUCUUCCACCCCAUCGGGGGCGGUGCCCCUGAUCGGGUGGAGGCGCUCCUUGUGGCUUGCAUAGUAGGCGGGUUGGCCUACUGUGCGAGUCCUUGGGAGUUUUCUUUUUCCGUUGCAGAUGACCAUGACCUUGCCCCGAGAGGUUUAGAAUGGCGGACUUAGGAUUUGGAGUAAUUGUGUGAUUAGUUCGUGGAAAACUUUUGUUGAUCUGUUACAAAGGAGAGGCUUUCCUAAUUUCAGUUUUUGAAGUGUGAUGAAACAGAUUUUGAUGAUUCUGUAACCGUAGAUUCAUGAUUAAGAAAGAUUCCAGUAUGUGCACCAUCCUGUAAUUACCAACGAUUUUAACCAUACAAAAUUGACCCUUAUGUCAGAUAAAGGGUACAUAAGCUGUCACAAAAUUCACCCUUAUGUCUGAUAAAGGGUACAUAAGAUGUCAAGUGUUAAAAAAAUUUUUAAGAUUCAAGGAUAUAAGAUUAUUAGAGAUUUCUUUAUAGUUAUAAUUUGGAUUAGUACUGUAUAUCAAAUUGUUAAUAAAUAUAAAGGAGAUUGA